UACGUAGGGUGCAAGCGUUGUCCGGAAUUAUUGGGCGUAAAGAGCUCGUAGGCGGUCUGUCGCGUCUGCUGUGAAAACUCGGGGCUUAACCCCGGGCCUGCAGUGGGUACGGGCAGACUAGAGUGCGGUAGGGGAGACUGGAAUUCCUGGUGUAGCGGUGAAAUGCGCAGAUAUCAGGAAGAACACCGAUGGCGAAGGCAGCGCUCUGGGACGGUACUGACGCUGAGACGCGAAAGCGUGGGGAGCGAACAGG
rnacentral:rRNA from 1 species